rnacentral:ncRNA from 1 species
AGCCACUUGAGCCACAGGCGCCAAGCCGAUGAUUGGGUUUUCAUGUGCAUGUGUGAGAUGUGCCUCCAACAAAUCUUGUUACGAUGUUGGCACAUUACUCGUCUGAUG